rnacentral:rRNA from 1 species
CCUACGGGAGACAGCAGUGAGGAAUAUUGGUCAAUGGGCGCUAGCCUGAACCAGCCAAGUCGCGUGAAGGAUGACUGCCCUAUGGGUUGUAAACUUCUUUUAUAUGGGAAUAAAGUGCAGUAUGUAUACUGCUUUGCAUGUACCUUAUGAAUAAGAAUCGGCUAACUCCGUGCCAGCAGCCGCGGUAAUACGGAGGAUCCGAGCGUUAUCCGGAUUUAUUGGGUUUAAAGGGAGCGUAGGCGGGUUGUUAAGUCAGUUGUGAAAGUUUGCGGCUCAACCUUAAAACUGCAGUUGAUACUGGCAGCCUUGAGUACAGUAGAGGUAGGCGGAAUUCGUGGUGUAGCGGUGAAAUGCUUAGAUAUCACGAAGAACUCCGAUUGCGAAGGCAGCCUGCUGGACUGUAACUGACGCUGAUGCACGAAAGUGUGGGUAUCAAACAGGAUUAGAUACCCCAGUAGUC